rnacentral:RNase_P_RNA from 1 species
GUCAGAGGGAAGCUCACCACUGAGGUCACAUGCUGGGUGUUUAUCACUCCCAAGUCAAUACCUUAGGGAAGGUCUGAGACAGGAGCCAAUGGCUGCCCUUGCAGGGCAUCACCUGAGGCAGGUGGAUGAGUUACCAGCAAUGUUGGGACUUCAGGUGGGACACUCAAAGGGCAGAAGAAGCUGGUUGAUGAUCUCUAAGUGGAUGCCCUUCCCCCCAGAGUAUUGGAACAGGCUCAUGGCUGGCAGUGCUGAGUUCAAUGGGCUGAGGUGAGACUAGUGUCCCUUGCACAUCUCAUAACCCAAUUCAGACUACUCUCCCUCUGGC